rnacentral:rRNA from 1 species
GACGAACGCUGGCGGCACGCUUAACACAUGCAAGUCGAACGAGAGAAGAGAAGCUUGCUUUUCUGAUCUAGUGGCGGACGGGUGAGUAACACGUGAGCAAUCUGCCUUUCAGAGGGGGAUACCGAUUGGAAACGAUCGUUAAUACCGCAUAACAUAAUUGAACCGCAUGAUUUGAUUAUCAAAGAUUUAUCGCUGAAAGAUGAGCUCGCGUCUGAUUAGCUAGUUGGUAAGGUAACGGCUUACCAAGGCGACGAUCAGUAGCCGGACUGAGAGGUUGAUCGGCCACAUUGGGACUGAGACACUGCCCAGACUCCUACGGGAGGCAGCAGUGGGGAAUAUUGCACAAUGGAGGAAACUCUGAUGCAGCGAUGCCGCGUGAGGGAAGAAGGUUUUAGGAUUGUAAACCUCUGUCUUCAGGGACGAAAAAAGACGGUACCUGAGGAGGAAGCUCCGGCUAACUACGU